AAUCUUCCGCAAUGGACGAAAGUCUGACGGAGCAACGCCGCGUGAGUGAUGAAGGCUUNCGGAUCNUNACACUCUGUUGUAAGGGNCGAACAAGUACAGGAGUAACUGGCUGUACCUUGACGGUACCUUAUUAGAAAGCCACGGCUAACUACGUUCCAGCAGCCGCGGUAACACGUAGGUGGCAAGCGUUGUCCGGAAUUAUUGGGCGUAAAGCGCGCGCAGGCGGUCUCUUAAGUCAGAUGGGAAAGCCCCCGGCUCAACCGGGGAGGGUCAUUGGAAACUGGGAGAAUUGAGUGCAGAAGAGAAGAGCGGAAUUCAACGUGUAGCGGUGAAAGGCGUAGGGAUGUGGAGGAACACCAGUGGCGAAGGCGGCUCGUUGGUCUGUAACUGACGCUGAGGCGCGAAAGCGUGGGGAGCAAACAGG
rnacentral:rRNA from 1 species